rnacentral:rRNA from 1 species
AACGAACGCUGGCGGCAGGCCUAACACAUGCAAGUCGAACGCCCCGCAAGGGGAGUGGCGCACGGGUGAGUAACGCGUGGGAAUAUGCCCUUCGGUUCGGAAUAACACAGGGAAACUUGUGCUAAUACCGGAUACGAUCUACGGAUGAAAGAUUUAUCGCCGAGGGAGUAGCCCGCGUAGGAUUAGCUAGUUGGUGAGGUAACGGCUCACCAAGGCGACGAUCCUUAGCUGGUCUGAGAGGAUGAUCAGCCACACUGGGACUGAGACACGGCCCAGACUCCUACGGGAGGCAGCAGUGGGGAAUAUUGGACAAUGGGCGAAAGCCUGAUCCAGCCAUGCCGCGUGAGUGAUGAAGGCCUUAGGGUUGUAAAGCUCUUUCGCCAGGGAAGAUAAUGACGGUACCUGGAAAAGAAGCCUCGGCUAACUCCGUGCCAGCAGCCGCGGUAACAC